rfam:Pan troglodytes isolate Yerkes chimp pedigree #C0471 (Clint) chromosome 12, whole genome shotgun sequence.
GGCAAUGUAGCAUUGUGGCUAAGUGCACAGUCUUUGGAAACUGGCAGGCCUGGGUUCAAAUCCCAGCUUAUUCA